AAUAUGCUGUUUGGACAGUUGUCCUUGUUAUUUGUUUUUUUCAAAGGAGGUUUUGAGCUAUCAACCCACACAAUUUUUUUGGCGUCUUCAUGGAACAUUGUGUACUGAAAUUUUGUCUACAGUGAAUCUAUUCUUUUGGUGGGAAGGUUCUCCAUCUGUCAAGCCUUUCCUUCCAAGUCAGGAUGGUGGAUGCUAGGAUCUCUAAAUUGCAUCUGUACAAUUCAUGCAAGAUUGUGACCACUGUGCCCACACAAAUUUUCUCUACCAACACUGGAGCACCACUUGUGCACAAAGAACAGUCAUGUCCUAAAGGCAAUGGCCUUGUGUUGAGCACAAACAGAAAGAGUCUGGACUACACUUGGAUCAAAAAAUCAAACCAAGGAAAGAAGGAGAAGAAGACUGUUGAAUCCCUGAAGCACUGACAUUUACAGGUUACAAGUAGGUGGGAAAGGUCUCAUAUGGGUGUCACUUAAACUGAAACCAAUUAAGAAACAUCUGUAGACAAUAGAACAGUGUCAAGUGUGAACAAUGAAAUUUCUUCUAAGAGAAGAGACAGAGAGUAGAGCACACUCUCAGCAAGACUGAAAAAGCUCUGUCCAAACAAAAGCCAUGUUUAUGUCCUCACUGGAGCUCCAGUGUGUUGCAACCUGUCUCUCAAGAGCACUGUAGACCAAGACAUAGUUGACCCAGACAUUACAAUCAGCAAUACUAAUUAAAUUUCAAACACCAUCAUCA